rnacentral:rRNA from 1 species
AGAGUUUGAUCCUGGCUCAGAACGAACGCUGGCGGCGUGUUUAAGACAUGCAAGUCGCACGGGAUUGGUUGAGUAGUAAUACGACUCCAGUCUAGUGGCGCACGGGUGAGUAACAUGUGAAUGACAUGCCCUAUAGUGGGGAAUAGCCCAGGGAAACUUGGAUUAAUACCCCAUAGUCUCGCAAGAGUAAAGGUGGCCGCAAGGCUGUCGCUAUAGGAUUGGUUCGCACCCUAUCAGCUUGUUGGUGAGGUAAUGGCUCACCAAGGCUACGACGGGUACCUGGUCUGAGAGGACGAUCAGGCACACUGGAACUGAGACACGGUCCAGACACCUACGGGUGGCAGCAGUCGAGAAUAAUUCACAAUGGGGGCAACCCUGAUGGUGCAACGCCGCGUGGAGGAUGACGGUCUUCGGAUUGUAAACUCCUGUCAUCUGGGAGUAAGCAUGGUUGUGAAUAGCAAACAUGAUUGAUAGUACCAAAGAGGAAGGGACGGCUAACUUCGUGCCAGCAGCCGCGGUAAUACGAAGGUCCCAAGCGUUGUUCGGAAUCACUGGGCGUAAAGGGAGCGUAGGCGGCGUGUAAGUCAGAUGUGAAAUCCCGGGGCUCAACCCC